UUGUCGCUUUUGAAUUUCCAUAGCAACUGCUCCUGUGUCACCCUAUUGCUCCCAAAGGUUUAAGCAGUUGCAUGUACAAAUUUACAUAUAUCUGCAUGUCAUUAACAUAGAGGCGGAGCCGGAACUUGUUUGGGCAACUAUCCCUGGACAGUUCCCUUCGCUUUGCUUUCAUCCGUCAGAUGACCACCUGGGCUGCGCAUGCGUGUAUUCCCUGCAUGAACCUCAGACUUCCUGGAUCUCCACAUCGCUCUGGAAAGGGUCUUAAAGAAAGUACUGAAGCUGACUUGUCCCAGCCAGUUAGACCUGCUGGCAAAUGCUAUAAGGCAGAGCUCUACCUCUGCAGUUCUGCCUGUGUUAGUGGCUGAACAGAUCGCUGCUGUUUCCUGGUCACUGUCUCUCGAUGUCCUGAAGGCACCUUGAUGCAGAUCCAGUGCCAGGAGCCAAGCCCUCUGAAUCUGUCACCUGAGGAAGCUGGUCUUGGGAAGAUCAACUCUAAUUCUGAAAUAAAUAGUUUUCUGCAGCUGGUCCUUGGUCUGUCCUCUGGGGGAGGAUAGGGCAGGGCUGAAACGGGUCCUGCACAACCUUGAAUAAAGGAGAGACAUGGAUUCUCUCUCU